UUAUAGUUUAUUUGAUGAAAAGUACUACUUGGAUAACCGUAGUAAUUCUAGAGCUAAUACAUGAUAAAAUCCUCGACUUUGAAGAGGUGUAUUUAUUAGAAUGAAACCAAUAGACUUCGGUCUGUUUGUGAGUAAUAAUAACUAAUCGUAUCGCAUGCUUAGGUAGCGAUAUGUCUUUCAAGUUUCUGCCCUAUCAGCUUUGGAUGGUAGUGUAUUGGACUACCAUGGCAGUAACGGGUAACGAAGAAUUUGGGUUCGAUUUCGGAGAGGGAGCCUGAGAGAUGGCUACCACAUCCAAGGAAGGCAGCAGGCGCGUAAAUUACCCAAUCCUGACAUAGGGAGGUAGUGACAAUAAAUCACAAUGCGGAACUAUUAGUUUUGCAAUUGGAUUGAGAACAAUGUACAAAUGUUAUCGAUAAACAAUUGGA
rnacentral:rRNA from 1 species